rnacentral:rRNA from 1 species
CCUACGAGGAGCUGCAGUGGGGAAUAUUGGACAAUGGGCGAAAGCCUGAUCCAGCCAUGCCGCGUGUGUGAAGAAGGCCUUCGGGUUGUAAAGCACUUUCAGUGGGGAAGAAAGCCUUGGGGCUAAUACCCUCGAGGAAGGACAUCACCCACAGAAGAAGCACCGGCUAACUCCGUGCCAGCAGCCGCGGUAAUACGGAGGGUGCGAGCGUUAAUCGGAAUUACUGGGCGUAAAGCGCGCGUAGGCGGUCUGAUAAGCCGGUUGUGAAAGCCCCGGGCUCAACCUGGGAACGGCAUCCGGAACUGUCAGGCUAGAGUGCAGGAGAGGAAGGUAGAAUUCCCGGUGUAGCGGUGAAAUGCGUAGAGAUCGGGAGGAAUACCAGUGGCGAAGGCGGCCUUCUGGACUGACACUGACGCUGAGGUGCGAAAGCGUGGGUAGCAAACAGGAUUAGAUACCCUUGUAGUC